GGCGGACGGGUGAGUAAUGUCUGGGAAACUGCCUGAUGGAGGGGGAUAACUACUGGAAACGGUAGCUAAUACCGCAUAACGUCGCAAGACCAAAGUGGGGGACCUUCGGGCCUCAUGCCAUCAGAUGUGCCCAGAUGGGAUUAGCUAGUAGGUGGGGUAAUGGCUCACCUAGGCGACGAUCCCUAGCUGGUCUGAGAGGAUGACCAGCCACACUGGAACUGAGACACGGUCCAGACUCCUACGGGAGGCAGCAGUGGGGAAUAUUGCACAAUGGGCGCAAGCCUGAUGCAGCCAUGCCGCGUGUGUGAAGAAGGCCUUCGGGUUGUAAAGCACUUUCAGCGGGGAGGAAGGCGUUAAGGUUAAUAACCUUGGCGAUUGACGUUACCCGCAGAAGAAGCACCGGCUAACUCCGUGCCAGCAGCCGCGGUAAUACGGAGGGUGCAAGCGUUAAUCGGAAUUACUGGGCGUAAAGCGCACGCAGGCGGUCUGUCAAGUCGGAUGUGAAAUCCCCGGGCUCAACCUGGGAACUGCAUUCGAAACUGGCAGGCUAGAGUCUUGUAGAGGGGGGUAGAAUUCCAGGUGUAGCGGUGAAAUGCGUAGAGAUCUGGAGGAAUACCGGUGGCGAAGGCGGCCCCCUGGACAAAGACUGACGCUCAGGUGCGAAAGCGUGGGGAGCAAACAGGAUUAGAUACCCUGGUAGUCCACGCCGUAAACGAUGUCGAUUUGGAGGUUGUGCCCUUGAGGCGUGGCUUCCGGAGCUAACGCGUUAAAUCGACCGCCUGGGGAGUACGGCCGCAAGGUUAAAACUCAAAUGAAUUGACGGGGGCCCGCACAAGCGGUGGAGCAUGUGGUUUAAUUCGAUGCAACGCGAAGAACCUUACCUGGUCUUGACAUCCACAGAACUUUCCAGAGAUGGAUUGGUGCCUUCGGGAACUGUGAGACAGGUGCUGCAUGGCUGUCGUCAGCUCGUGUUGUGAAAUGUUGGGUUAAGUCCCGCAACGAGCGCAACCCUUAUCCUUUGUUGCCAGCGGUUAGGCCGGGAACUCAAAGGAGACUGCCAGUGAUAAACUGGAGGAAGGUGGGGAUGACGUCAAGUCAUCAUGGCCCUUACGACCAGGGCUACACACGUGCUACAAUGGCAUAUACAAAGAGAAGCGACCUCGCGAGAGCAAGCGGACCUCAUAAAGUAUGUCGUAGUCCGGAUUGGAGUCUGCAACUCGACUCCAUGAAGUCGGAAUCGCUAGUAAUCGUAGAUCAGAAUGCUACGGUGAAUACGUUCCCGGGCCUUGUACACACCGCCCGUCACACCAUGGGAGUGGGUUGCAAAAGAAGUAGGUAGCUUAACCUUCGGGAGGGCGCUUACCACUUUGUGAUUCAUGACUGGGGUGAAGUCGUAACAAGGUAACCGUAGGGGAACCUGCGGUUGGAUCACCU
rnacentral:rRNA from 1 species